rnacentral:rRNA from 1 species
GCAUAUCAAUAAGCGGAGGAAAAGAAACCAACAGGGAUUGCCUCAGUAACGGCGAGUGAAGCGGCAACAGCUCAAAUUUGAAAUCUGGCUCUUUCAGGGUCCGAAUUGUAAUUUGCAGAGGAUGCUUUGGGUGCGGGCGCCUUCCGAGUUCCCUGGAACGGGACGCCAUAGAGGGUGAGAGCCCCGUCUGGUAGGAUGCCCAGCCCGUGUAAAGCUCCCUCGACGAGUCGAGUAGUUUGGGAAUGCUGCUCUAAGGGGAGGUAUACUCCUUCCAAAGCUAAAUACCGGCUGGAGACCGAUAGCGCACAAGUAGAGUGAUCGAAAGAUGAAAAGCACUUUGAAAAGAGAGUCAAAUAGCACGUGAAAUUGUUGAAAGGGAAGCGCUCGCUACCAGACUUGGGUACGCGGUUCCGUAGGUGCUCCGCACCUGCGUACUCCUCGUGCCCAGGCCAGCAUCAGUUCUUCGUCGGGUUAAAAGGCUUCGGGAAUGUGGCUCGCCUCGGUGAGUGUUAUAGCCCGUUGUGUCAUGCCCGGUGGGGGACUGAGGUACGCGCUCCGCAAGGAUGCUGGCGUAAUGGUAGCUAGUGACCCGUCUUGAAACACGGACCAAGGAGUCAACCUUAUGUGCAAGUGCCCGGGCGUAAAACCCCAGCGCGGAAUGAAAGUGAACGUAGGUGAGAGCUUCGGCGCAUCACCGACCGAUCCUGAUGUCCUCGGACGGAUUUGAGUGUGAGCAUAUAGGGUUGGACCCGAAAGAAGAUGAACUAUGCGUGUGUAGGGUGAAGCCAGAGGAAACUCUGGUGGAGGCUCGCAGCGGUUCUGACGUGCAAAUCGAUCGUCAAACAUGCGCAUGGGGGCGAAAGACUAAUCGAAUCUUCUGGUAGCUGGUUUCCGCG